UAUGUAGGGCGCAAGCGUUAUCCGGAAUUAUUGGGCGUAAAGAGCUCGUAGGCGGUUUGUCGCGUCUGCCGUGAAAGUCCGGGGCUCAACUCCGGAUCUGCGGUGGGUACGGGCAGACUAGAGUGAUGUAGGGAGACUGGAAUUCCUGGUGUAGCGGUGAAAUGCGCAGAUAUCAGGAGGAACACCGAUGGCGAAGGCAGGUCUCUGGGCAUUAACUGACGCUGAGGAGCGAAAGCAUGGGGAGCGAACAGG
rnacentral:rRNA from 1 species